ensembl:snoRNA Gm24555 predicted gene, 24555
CCUGCCCCUAGAGGCAUUGCAGGUGUGACUGCUGUGUCAUAUGUGUGUCAGUAAGUGGCAGAGAGGCUAUGUAUAUGCUCAGUGUUCUGAUCUAUGAACAUCUGAAUGAUGAUUGGCACAAAUU